AGCGAACGCUGGCGGCAGGCCUAACACAUGCAAGUCGAACGAACUCUUCGGAGUUAGUGGCGGACGGGUGAGUAACACGUGGGAACGUGCCUUUUGGUUCGGAAUAACUCAGGGAAACUUGUGCUAAUACCGAAUGUGCCCUUCGGGGGAAAGAUUGAUCGCCAUUAGAGGGGCCCGCGUCUGAUUAGCUAGUUGGUGAGGUAACGGCGCACCAAGGCGACGAUCAGUAGCUGGUCUGAGAGGAUGACCAGCCACACUGGGACUGAGACACGGCCCAGACUACUACGGGAGGCAGCAGUGGGGAAUCUAGCGCAAUGGGCGAAAGCCUGACGCAGCCAUGCCGCGUGAAUGAUGAAGGUCUUAGGAUAGUAAAAUUCUUUCACCGGGGACGAUAAUGACGGUACCCGGAGAAGAAGCCCCGGCUAACUUCGUG
rnacentral:rRNA from 1 species